UACAGAGGUCCCAAGCGUUUGUUCGGAUUCAUUGGGCGUAAAGGGUGCGUAGGUGGCGUGGUAAGUCGGGUGUGAAAUCCCGGGGCUCAACCCCGGGACUGCAUUCGAUACUGGAUAUCUUGAGUUCGGGAGAGGUGAGUGGAACUCCGAGUGUAGAGGUGAAAUUCGUAGAUAUUCGGAAGAACACCAGUGGCGAAGGCGACUCACUGGCCCGAUACUGACGCUGAGGCGCGAAAGCGUGGGGAGCAAACAGG
rnacentral:rRNA from 1 species